GAACCCUCCAGUGCCCACCUCUCUCAGCACUAGAAUCACAAAUGUAUGCCACCAGCCACAUCUGGUUCUGGGGCUGGAACUCUGGUCCUGCGCUUGCAAGGCAAAGCUUUUACCAACAGAGCCAUCUCCUCAGACCCUCUCUGGAGUUCUAUGCCCAGGCUGGUGGAUGGAAUAGCGUUGGACUGAUGCAGAUGCCGGCAGAGGUCCUAGGCCAGGCUUGGCUGGGAGGAGAGAGGAGGCUGGAGAAGCGUGGGCUGCUACAGGAGGUUCUGCACUCUUGGAUAGGCGGCAUCCUCGAUUCAACCUGUCUGAGGGACGAGUGGAAGGAGGGGCCAGCCUCAUGCCCGGAAUCUUUGCUGCUUUGGAGGAGGCCUGAGACUGAGCUCUGGGAUCUCUCAGGCUCUCACUAAGCUGAAAGAAGAGGUCAGAACCACGCUCCUCAGGCCCAGUUUACCGUAGAGGCCUGGUGGGAGCAACCGAGGCCCGGGGCAUCCCGGGAAGGGUCUGAGGCCCUGAGGCGGGUGGUGAGAAGAGGAGCCAAGGACUUGUUGUUUCUUGAUAGUCUUGACAGGGUCUUCCAGGCUGAGCCAGCCAUGAUGGCGUCACAACACCUAGGUACUGUUUAUAGAAGACUUACUGAAUGUCUGGGUACCGUGCCAAGAACUUCAUAUCCCAUUUGGCCCUCAUAUCAGCCAUAGAAGGCCAGUGUUAUCCUUAUCCCUGGGGCAACUGUUGCCCAGGUAGUUAACUGCACAAAGGGAUUCAGUCAUGGCGGGGCCAUUAAAGCCAAAAUCCUCCCCGUGAGCUA